AUGUGUGAGAAACUGAUUCCAGCUAUCCAUGACCUGUGGCCCGAUGAAGAUGAAGAACGGACCAUCUUUAUCCAGCAAGAUAAUGCUACACCGCAUCUUAAGCCUAGUGACGAGGUUUUUCGACGGGCCGUAGAACAGACCGGUCUGGAUAUCAAGUUGAUCCAGCAACCUCCAAAUAGCCCCGACCUGAAUAUUCUUGAUCUUUGCUUCUUCAGGUCUCUCCAGUCGCAUACCGAUUGCAGAGCACCUCAAAGCAUAAGGGAAUUGAUAGAAGGCGUGGAGGAAGAAUAUCAAAACUAUGAUGUCAACACGUUAGCUCGAAGCUUCGUGACACUGCAAUCAUGCAUGAGAGAGAUUAUGAGAGAAAAAGGAGGGAUAGGCUACAAGAUUCCUCACAUGCAAAAAGAGCGCCAGCAGCAAGAAGGAAGGCUUCCUAUCGCUCUCUCUUUAAACGUUGAGCUAGUUGAGCAAACCUUAGCACUUAUAGCAGCAGCAGACCUCGAGGCAGCAGCAGCAGCACCUUUGAAGCAGAGAAAGAGAAAGAGGAGCAGCAGCACCUUCCAAGCAGAGAAAGGGAAAGAAGACCAGCAACAUCCUCCAAGCAGCAGUACUCUACAAGCAGUAGCAGCACCACCACCACCUUCGAAGCAGAGAAAGAGAAAGAAGAGCAGCAGCGCCCUCCAAGCAAAGAAAGGGAAAGAAGACCAGCAACAUCCUCCAAGCAGCAGUACUCUACAAGCAGUAGCAGCACCACCACCACCUUCGAAGCAGAGAAAGAGAAAGAAGAGCAGCAGCGCCCUCCAAGCAAAGAAAGGAAAAGAAGCAGAGAAAGGGAAAGGAGCAAUUCCGUGCGUCCCUGCAAAGGUUGUGUUCAGCAGGAUAAUGGAAGCAGUUUGCAGGCCAGUAAUGUGUUAA
rnacentral:rRNA from 1 species